rnacentral:rRNA from 1 species
CUGCAGUCGAGCGAGACCUUCGGGUCUAGCGGCGGACGGGUUAGUAACGCGUGGGAACGUGCCCUUCUCUGCGGAAUAGCCACUGGAAACGGUGAGUAAUACCGCAUACGCCCUUCGGGGGAAAGAUUUAUCGGAGAAGGAUCGGCCCGCGUUAGAUUAGAUAGUUGGUGGGGUAACGGCCUACCAAGUCUACGAUCUAUAGCUGGUUUUAGAGGAUGAUCAGCAACACUGGGACUGAGACACGGCCCAGACUCCUACGGGAGGCAGCAGUGGGGAAUCUUAGACAAUGGGCGCAAGCCUGAUCUAGCCAUGCCGCGUGUGUGAUGAAGGUCUUAGGAUCGUAAAGCACUUUCGCCAGGGAUGAUAAUGACAGUACCUGGUAAAGAAACCCCGGCUAACUCCGUGCCAGCAGCCGCGGUAAUACGGAGGGGGUUAGCGUUGUUCGGAAUUACUGGGCGUAAAGCGCGCGUAGGCGGAUUGGAAAG